rnacentral:rRNA from 1 species
UACAGGGGGUGCAAACGUUGCUCGGAAUCAUUGGGCGUAAAGCGCACGUAGGCGGUUUGUUAUGUCGGAUGUGAAAGCCCUUGGCUCAACCUGGGAACUGCAUCUGUGACUGCAUUGCUGGAGUGCGGCAGAGGGGGAUGGAAUUCCGCGUGUAGCAGUGAAAUGCGCAGAUAUCAGGAAGAACACCCGUGGCGAAGGCGGCUCUCUGGGACGGUACUGACGCUGAGACGCGAAAGCGUGGGGAGCGAACAGG